ACUGUGUGUGGAUUUAUGGAUUUAUGUUUUUCUAAAACUGAAUAACAAAAAAAAAAUGUAUCUGAAAUACUAGAUCAACUUUAUAGAACUUUGCCCAAUUCUGAACGAAAAACGGAUUAUCGCUCUUGUCAACAGAUAUUUUCAAUUGUUCGUCAAAAAUUGUAAAAUUGAUAUCUUAUUACGAUAUGGAUUUUUUUACUGACAUAUUGUAAACUGUAGGUUUUGAUGGAAAUUUCGGUGGGAAGUGGUUUUAUUCGUUAUCUACGGCAGCGAUAAAAAAAGAUCACAAACAAACACAUUCAAAUGCUUUUCUUGAAUUGAUGCCGAUCCUUGUGGCAGCUGUUUUAAUGAGGUGUAUCAUUGCUAAUAAAAAUGGUGUUAUCUUGAUCUGCAAAAAAAGUCUACUUUCGAGAUUAUAAAGAAAAGCACAGAUCAAAAUCUUUAUAUAUCAUGCAACUAAGAAGGACAUGAACAUGGUGUGCAUGAACAAACAAUUUCUUUUUUCAGUACAAAACACGUAAUAGGUUAAUAAAACGUUUUUAAUGAUGCCUUUUCUCAGUUUCAGUUACAUCGAUUCAGAACACUAGAAUCGGAUGCACACCCUUUUAAGGACCCGAGUCCAAACAUUGGGUUUAAUCAAACUACCAAACAAUUACGGACAAGUCAAUAUCUAAAAUGACUUAGAACAUGGAUGAUUUUGGGAUCAUACAAGUUAAGGAAAUCAUCCCUUCGAAAAUUUAGCAGACGCUAUCACGAAUAAUGACAAUUGAAGACACAUAGUUUGGAAAGUAGCUCGUUACUACAGGAAGCUAGCUAAGGUAACCAUCACUAUUGGUUGGAUACUCUUGCAAAGGAACAGGAUGCCAGCUGAGGCAACCAUUGCUAUUAGUUGAAUACUGUCGCAAAAGAAAACAAAAACUUCAGGAACAACACUCGAAGCCUCAACAUAAAAUUUAAUUGAACUUGGCAGUAUUUGUGAAACACAGUUCAAGAACAAGAACAAGAACUAUUAGAUACUGGAUAACGAACUAGAUAUAACUUCGCCCAGUGAGCCCUACGAAGAAUUUUUACAACUUACAAUCAAGAUAGGUAAAGGGGGAUUGAAAUGGGGAUGGAGCGCACUUCACACUUGUUUCUAUGGUUCAGAUAGGUAAGAGUGGAGAUUUGUAGGCAUUUAAAACCGGUUAAAUCCUAACAAAUGUUGGCUCGACCAGUUAGUUUCAAUCAGGUGCAGACUUUUAUUCUAGUACCAAUCCAAAAGUGGCAAAUAGCUGAAGAUACAAAAUAAAAUACAAUUUUACAAUGUGUCAAAUGAUUAUUAAAGUGAAUAAAUCAUUUGGUAUGGAGCAACGACGUUGUCUGGAAUUUUGCAAUUAAAUGCCCCCAAUAAGGCGUAGUCCAGAAUGUAGCAGUGCAUUACUACCAAUAUAAAAAUAGUUAAAUUUCUACUAAAACUUGAGUUAACAAUUAAAUACAUCACUGGCAAUGGGAAGGCAUUGAAUAUGAUAUUUUAAAAGUUACUAACGAUUUGGUAAGCCACAAAUUGUGACACAAAAAGAAUUUUUGAAACAGUCCUCCUUUGCCAAGUGAUGUGACGUGGCAUUGUCAUUUACAAAAGACAGAUAUGAGCCUGCAGUAACAAUAAAAAUAUAACGGUAAAGUGUAGAUUUAACCCCGGAUAAUAUAAAUUGAUCGUGAAUACGAAUAAAUAACUUAUGUACACAAAUUAACACAGUUGUUUGUUGUUGCAUGUGUGUGGGUCUUUGAGAAAAUAUGACAAAACUAAAGUAAUGCCUAUUGAUCAAUUACGUAAAAGUGUGACUUGUGGUUUUAAAACGCAAAUCAAUGAAAGGAGAAACAAAAUUAACACUUAUAUGUAAAUACACACACGCACAACAACAACAGCUAUCGUUGAAAAUAGUCCAUUUCUGACAACUUGAAAUAUAUUCUAAGAGCAGCGACACCAGUUGGCAACACACCAAUUUGGCGUCAUUGUGAGUUCCAAUUACUCCAAAGUCUCCAACGUGUGAUCUUGUCAGUAGUGAUGCUGACUGUCCAGAUUUAUUAUUAGUUACAUGCGAAAGAACUUGGUCAGUAUAUUAUUACAAAAUGUCGACUGAUACAGUGCAAACAAACGACAGAUAAAAAUACUAGUCAAGUUGCCGUAAAUGGUAGACUGAUGUUUUGUUUAUCUUUAAACUGAUGGCAGUGAUUCUGUAUAGUCGAUAAAAACCGAUUGCGUAAGCAUUUUAAAUGAAUUGGGUCGGCAUUAGUCAGCUUUCCUGGCUAAAUGCAUGUUAGUAAAAAAACGCCGUCAACACAACAUAACCGUCCAUAAACUCAUAAUACAAGUUAAAUAAGUUUGUAUUUCAUCUUGUCAUAUAUAAGGUUCCUUAUGGAUUAAAUUUUCUACUAUGUAUGUCCUACUUAAUCUACCUUAAUCCUAUAAACCAAAUAUCAUGUCAAACAUUUUGCCUUAAUUUAUAAGCCAG